rnacentral:rRNA from 1 species
UCCUACGGGAGGCAGCAGUGGGGAAUAUUGGACAAUGGGCGCAAGCCUGAUCCAGCAAUGCCGCGUGUGUGAAGAAGGCCUACGGGUUGUAAAGCACUUUCAGUGGGGAAGAAAAGCCUAGGGUUAAUACCCCUGAGUCUUGACGUAACCUACAGAAGAAGCACCGGCUAACUCCGUGCCAGCAGCCGCGGUAAU